AUACAGCUGACGAGUCCCAAAUGGGAUGAAACGCGCGUCCUGGAU
rnacentral:hammerhead_ribozyme from 1 species